rnacentral:siRNA from 1 species
UUAGGUGGUUCUGACGAGGUGUGU